UACAGAGGGUGCAAGCGUUAAUCGGAAUUACUGGGCGUAAAGCGUGCGUAGACGGCUAUGUAAGUCGGGUGUGAAAGCCCCGGGCUCAACCUGGGAAUGCCAUUCGAGACUGCAUAGCUAGGGUGCGGAAGAGGGAAGCGGAAUUUCCGGUGUAGCGGUGAAAUGCGUAGAUAUCGGAAGGAACACCAGUGGCGAAAGCGGCUUCCUGGUCCAGCACCGACGUUCAGGCACGAAAGCGUGGGGAGCAAACAGG
rnacentral:rRNA from 1 species